GAUGAACGCUGGCGGCGUGCCUAAUACAUGCAAGUCGAGCGAACGGACGAGAAGCUUGCUUCUCUGAUGUUAGCGGCGGACGGGUGAGCAACACGUGGAUAACCUACCUAUAAGACUGGGAUAACUUCGGGAAACCGUAGCUAAUACCGGAUAAUAUUUUGAACCGCAUGGUUCAAAAGUGAAAGACGGUCUUGCUGUCACUUAUAGAUGGAUCCGCGCUGCAUUAGCUAGUUGGUAAGGUAACGGCUUACCAAGGCAACGAUGCAUAGCCGACCUGAGAGGGUGAUCGGCCACACUGGAACUGAGACACGGUCCAGACUCCUACGGGAGGCAGCAGUAGGGAAUCUUCCGCAAUGGGCGAAAGCCUGACGGAGCAACGCCGCGUGAGUGAUGAAGGUCUUCGGAUCGUAAAACUCUGUUAUUAGGGAAGAACAUAUGUGUAAGUAACUGUGCACAUCUUGACGGUACCUAAUCAGAAAGCCACGGCUAACUACGU
rnacentral:rRNA from 1 species